AUUGAACGCUGGCGGCAUGCCUUACACAUGCAAGUCGAACGGUAACAGGUCUUCGGAUGCUGACGAGUGGCGAACGGGUGAGUAAUACAUCGGAACGUGCCCGAGAGUGGGGGAUAACGAAGCGAAAGCUUUGCUAAUACCGCAUACGAUCUCAGGAUGAAAGCAGGGGACCGCAAGGCCUUGCGCUCACGGAGCGGCCGAUGGCAGAUUAGGUAGUUGGUGGGAUAAAAGCUUACCAAGCCGACGAUCUGUAGCUGGUCUGAGAGGACGACCAGCCACACUGGGACUGAGACACGGCCCAGACUCCUACGGGAGGCAGCAGUGGGGAAUUUUGGACAAUGGGCGCAAGCCUGAUCCAGCCAUGCCGCGUGCAGGAUGAAGGCCUUCGGGUUGUAAACUGCUUUUGUACGGAACGAAAAGACUCCUUCUAAUAAAGGGGGUCCAUGACGGUACCGUAAGAAUAAGCACCGGCUAACUACGUGCCAGCAGCCGCAGUAACAC
rnacentral:rRNA from 1 species